rnacentral:rRNA from 1 species
GAUGAACGCUGGCGGCGUGCCUAAUACAUGCAAGUCGAGCGAACAGACGAGGAGCUUGCUCCUCUGACGUUAGCGGCGGACGGGUGAGUAACACGUGGAUAACCUACCUAUAAGACUGGGAUAACUUCGGGAAACCGGAGCUAAUACCGGAUAAUAUAUUGAACCGCAUGGUUCAAUAGUGAAAGACGGUUUUGCUGUCACUUAUAGAUGGAUCCGCGCCGCAUUAGCUAGUUGGUAAGGUAACGGCUUACCAAGGCAACGAUGCGUAGCCGACCUGAGAGGGGGAUCGGCCACACUGAAACUGAGACACGGUCCAGACUCCUACGGGAGGCAGCAGUAGGAAAUCUUCCGAAAUGGGCGAAAGCCUGACGGAGCAACGCGGCGUGAGUGAUGAAGGUCUUCGGAUCGUAAACCUCUGUUAUUAGGAAAGAACAAAUGUGUAAGUAACUAUGCACGUCUUGACGGUACCUAAUCAGAAAGCCACGGCUAACUACGU